CAGGUGCUAAUACCGGAUAAGAAAGCAGAUCGCAUGAUCAGCUUUUAAAAAAGGCGGCGUAAGCUGUCGCUAUGGGAUGGCCCCGCGGUGCAUUAGCUAGUUGGUAAGGUAAAGGCUUACCAAGGCGAUGAUGCAUAGCCCGAGUUGAGAGACUGAUCGGGCCACAUUGGGGACUGAGACACGGGGCCCAAAACUCCUACGGGGGGAGGGGCAGCAGGUAGGGGGAAUCUUCCACAAUGGACGCAAGUCUGAUGGAGCAACGCCGCGUGAGUGAAGUAAGGUUUUCGGAUCGUAAAGCUCUGUUGUUGGUGAAGAAGGAUAGAGGUAGUAACUGGUCCUUUAUUUGACGGUAAUCCAACCCGAAAGUCACGGCUAACUACGUGCCAGCAGCCGCGGUAAU
rnacentral:rRNA from 1 species